rnacentral:rRNA from 1 species
AGUUAAAACUUUCAACAACGGAUCUCUUGGUUCUGGCAUCGAUGAAGAACGCAGCGAAAUGCGAUAAGUAAUGUGAAUUGCAGAAUUCAGUGAAUCAUCGAAUCUUUGAACGCACAUUGCGCCCUCUGGUAUUCCGGGGGGCAUGCCUGUCCNAGCGUCGUUA